AAAAAUCUUACUGUUAUAUUUAUAUUGCAAUUUGUACUAUAGAUAAAAUCUUAAGUACAGCCGUUCUGCUCGAAACGGUACAGCAGUUUUUUAACUGGUGUUAUGAAUUGUAGCAACGCGAGAGUCGGCGUUUUAACAGGCUUGGCGGUCUCUUGAGUGGGUAUCUUGGAAGCAUUAAAGUAGAAAGUAAGCUACUAUGCUAGUUGUAGGGCAAGGGUUACAAUGACAGUGAAUUUAAACUGUUACAAGAUAAGU
rnacentral:sRNA from 12 species